CAUUUCUCUAGUCGACCUCAAGCUGUAAGGACCGUGUUUGGCUCUAGUCUAAAUUUUAAUUAGUAAAAAGUUUAGUGUUUGAUAUUCAAGUCACGUGUUUUGUUCAUCAACCUCUUCUCACAUAAUCCGCAAUCUACACGGAUCGUGGUGAAAUACGAGCCAGAUACAGUCUCACCGUUUGAGGUGGCUAUGGAAGAAGUGGUUAGGAAGAGAGGAUACUGCCAAUCCAGAUGUCCAUGGACACUAAGCAUUUACCUAGGAAGCUGAGAUACCAUUCUGUCUGGUUCUAGUCUUUCAUCGGUUUGGUUUGUAAACUGUAUCGAACCAAAAUAUUUUAUUAACUUUAAAAUUGUGAAAUUUAUUAACUUUUUAAAUCAAGACUCAAUUUAAUGAACAAUUUGUAGAUGUUUAAUUAGAUUUAUAGACAAUGUGUUCAAGUAUUAGGUCAUCUAGCAAAUUCUUCGGUUUUUCAUAGAUACUCAUUUUAAUUUGUUUUUAUAAAAUUUAAUGAUGAAACCUUAACUUUGAAAUGAUUUUUUGUUUCAUUGCAUGUUAUACUUGAUUGUGGUUUCAUAUUAUACGCUUUAAUCUAUGAAAAUCGCAGAACAAUGUGGAUGACCCAUUUCAGGAUUAAUUUUUAGCAUCAUUGGAAUAACUUGAUUAAUGGUUUAUGUACCUGUAUAAUUUUUGUAAUUAUUUCCAAUGUGAUACUAGAUUGUAGCAUUUAAUAUCUUACUGUGAUAAAGAUAUUGUUAAGUUGAAAUGAUCUCAAGUUUUAGAGUAAUAGAAAAUUUGAUGUACAGUAAACUUUUGUAUAACACUGUUAAUACAUUAAGCAUUUUAAGACAUGUUUAAUAUUUUGAUAUAAAUUUUUGAGAACAUAUUUGCAGAAAAUUCUUUUCUGCAAAUUAUUCUUGAUAAUUACUAACUAGUUUUGUACGAAAGUUUACUGUAGAAGUCUAUUGACGAAAUGUUAAUUCACAUUGAAUUUUGUAUAUUAAAAUAUAUAUAUAUAUAUAUAUUAGUUGAUAUAUAUUUAUAGAUGACGAGAUGAAUAACGGAAGUAUUCACGAAAAUAAAUUGUUUAAAAUAAAAAUGAUUUUCUUCAUAUAAUUUGCCAAUAUCAUACAUAUCAUAUUAAUGCCAUAAAUCCUUUUCAGUCUGGCAUUCACCCUAGAAAAUCCUUGAGCGAGAGAAUACUAAACAAAUAUCGCUGAAGCAAUUGGUUAUCGGCUCUGAAGUUAUUGGCCUGUCCAUAACCCGUAGGAAUAAGAUGUGUGGUGAGACGACAAGAAUUGUAUCGAGUGGGAAAGGGAUGGGUUAGUCUUUGUUUUUAGAAGGUCGUGCAAGCCGCACUUUGAUCUCCAAAUGUGUGGGGGCCCAGUUGAGCAUAAACAUGUACCUACCCACCAUAUCUUCGCACCUUCAGCACACAACCAACUCGCGAGUCUUCUCAAAAACUUCAGCGCGUGAUGCACAAGGCUCACUACAAGGCAGAGAAUUCGUACCACUGUCUGGUGAGCUCUUUCGUAUUGCCAACAACCACCACCCUUGUAACGUGUUUCUUCAGAUUCGGAACAUUUCUACUGAACGUGGAAGAUUCUCAAAAACUCCUCCAGUGCUUGCGCUGCUAAUACCAAUUUACUCUGGUUGUUGACAUGAUGCAAAUCGGCUAUACCAGUAUACAAUCAACUUCAUCGAUACAUUUUAUUAGCAUAACUUUUGAGGUAUGAUGAUUCGUAAUGCAUGUCAGUAAUUAAAGCAAAGAAAUAUGAGAAAAUUGAUCUAUGGUAAAUAUGAGUAGUAGUUUCACACAAAAGAGUUAUGAAUGAAAAAUAGCAAUGGGUUUUACUAACAAAGCCAGCAAUGAUGAAGAUGAUGCAUAAGUUUUUACAUUUUUCUAUGCUCUUUUGGUCUCUGUGUGCGCAAUAAUUAUUUUCACAGAUACGAUGUGAUCCUGAAAGAUACUUACCCCUUGGUGGCAUAAAGGUACCCUGUAUAUCAAUAUGUUUAUAAAAUUAGGGAUGGAAUUUGUGCGUUAUGUGUUUUCUAGAUUAAAUGGAAAGCAUGGUCAAUAGAAUCUAUCUCAUUGAGAUGUACAGAACAGGAAUUGAUUGAAGGAAGGAGGUAUCCCUUACAAGUAUUAGAUGAUAUAUUACGAACUGACGUGUAUGAAUAUAGAAGGACAGGGGGCAGGUGUAUGUUGAGAAUUUUUUUUACUCCAGAAUGUUCUAUUCCGCUAUAUGGAUUUUUCAUACUUCACUCUAA
rnacentral:lncRNA from 1 species